rnacentral:rRNA from 1 species
UACGUAGGUGGCAAGCGUUGUCCGGAAUCACUGGGCGUAAAGCGCGCGCAGGCGGCGAUCUACGUCUGGGGUGAAAGCCCGGAGCUCAACUCCGGGACUGCCUUGGAUACGGGAUCGCUUGAGGAUUGGAGAGGCAAGGGGAAUUCCACGUGUAGCGGUGAAAUGCGUAGAUAUGUGGAGGAACACCAGUGGCGAAGGCGGCUUCCUGGCCUGUAACUGACGCUGAGACGCGAAAGCGUGGGGAGCGAACCGG